rnacentral:rRNA from 1 species
UACAGAGGGUGCGAGCGUUAAUCGGAAUUACUGGGCGUAAAGCGCACGUAGGUGGCGACGUAAGUCGGGUGUGAAAGCCCCGGGCUCAACCUGGGAAUUGCAUUCGAGACUGCAUUGCUGGAGUACGGAAGAGGAAGGCGGAAUUCCCGGUGUAGCGGUGAAAUGCGUAGAGAUCGGGAGGAAGGCCGGUGGCGAAGGCGGCGCUCUGGAACAUUUCUGACGCUGAGGCUCGAAAGCGUGGGGAGCAAACAGG